GACGAACGCUGGCGGCGUGCUUAACACAUGCAAGUCGAGCGGUAAGGCCCUUUCGGGGGUACACGAGCGGCGAACGGGUGAGUAACACGUGGGUGACCUGCCCUCAGCUCUGGGAUAAGCCUGGGAAACUGGGUCUAAUACUGGAUAUGACUCCACGGUGCAUGUCGUGGGGUGGAAAGCCUUGUGCGGCUGAGGAUGGGCCCGCGGCCUAUCAGCUUGUUGGUGGGGUGAGGCCUACCAAGGCGACGACGGGUAGCCGGCCUGAGAGGGCGACCGGCCACACUGGGACUGAGACACGGCCCAGACUCCUACGGGAGGCAGCAGUGGGGAAUCUUGCGCAAUGGGCGAAAGCCUGACGCAGCGACGCCGCGUGAGGGAUGACGGCCUC
rnacentral:rRNA from 1 species